rnacentral:rRNA from 1 species
GAUGAACGCUGGCGGCGUGCCUAAUACAUGCAAGUCGAGCGAACAGACGAGGAGCUUGCUCCUCUGACGUUAGCGGCGGACGGGUGAGUAACACGUGGAUAACCUACCUAUAAGACUGGGAUAACUUCGGGAAACCAGAGCUAAUACCGGAUAAUAUAUUGAACCGCAUGGUUCAAUAGUGAAAGACGGUUUUGCUGUCACUUAUAGAUGGAUCCGCGCCGCAUUAGCUAGUUGGUAAGGUAACGGCUUAACAAGGCAACGAUGCGUAGCCGACCUGAGAGGGGGAUCGGCCACACGGGAACUGAGACACGGUCCAGACUCCUACGGGAGGCAGCAGUAGGGAAUCUUCCGCAAUGGGCGAAAGCCUGACGGAGCAACGCCGAGUGAGUGAUAAAGGUCUUCGGAUCGUAAAACUCUGUUAUUAGGGAAGAACAAAUGUGUAAGUAACUAUGCACGUCUUGACGGUACCUAAUCAGAAAGCCACGGCUAACUACGUG